AUUACCCUUGACCUUAACACCACUUCUUGGCAUUCUCAGGGUUUCUGGCUUAUGGUGGGCUUGAUGCCCUAUGUGCAAGAAUGAGAGAGGCUCUUUUGGGACAGCUAACUAUCAGUCUCUAAGUUCCUCUAGCAGCCUGGAUUGUGAAGCCCUUUCCUCCUUCACUUCCUGUACAUUCCUGCCAAGUGUGCGUUUAUUUCUUCUGUUUCUGACCUCAUUUCCUGUCCUUGGCCUGAUCUCAUUUUCCACUGGCAAACUGCCAUCCCACUCCCACUUCCUGACUCUCCAUUCUUUUUCUUUCCUUCGGGAAUUCAGGAUGAAUAAUUCUUUGACUGAAAGGGAACUCUUUGUCCAGUAUCCUUUGUCCUCCUUGAGCUGUCUCUGCUGAGAACUACAAGUCCCACAAUGCACAAGAGGUGAUCUUAAAAUACUGGAGAAACUUGUAUACCCUUCUAUCAAGUAGGGAUUUGCUCACGGAGACCCUUUGGGUGUUGACUGUAGAAUGGACUACAACUCCCAGAAGACUUUGGUGGAGCUCCCCACUAUCUUCAUGCUCUAUUACCCUGAAGCUUCCUGGGAGUUGUAGUCCAAUCACUUGUUUCCACUUCUCUAUUUUCUCAGACUCUGUAUUCAACGCUGCCUGCUCUCCUGGAUAGUAACCCUUUCACAGCUGGUGCAGAGCUGCCGGGGCCUGGCGCGGAGCUGGGGGCCAUGCCUCCAGGAUUGAGACCUACCCUGGGCGUGUUCCAGGCAGCCUUGGAGCUGACCAGCCAGUGCGAGCUGCACCCUGACCUCGUGUCUCAGACUUUUGGCUACUUGUUCUUCUUCUCCAACGCAUCCCUUCUCAACUCGCUGAUGGAACGAGGUCAAGGCCGGCCUUUCUAUCAAUGGUCCCGAGCUGUUCAAAUCCGAACCAACCUGGACCUCGUCUUGGACUGGCUACAGGGAGCUGGGCUGGGCGACAUUGCUACUGAGUUCUUCCGGAAACUCUCCAUGGCUGUGAACCUGCUCUGUGUGCCCCGCACUUCCCUGCUCAAGGCUUCAUGGAGCAGCCUAAGAACCGACCACCCCACCUUGACCCCCGCCCAGCUGCACCAUCUGCUCAGCCACUAUCAGCUGGGCCCCGGCCGCGGGCCGCCAGCCGCGUGGGACCCUCCCCCUGCAGAGCGGGAGGCUGUGGACACAGGGGACAUCUUCGAAAGCUUCUCCUCGCACCCGCCCCUCAUCCUCCCCCUGGGGAGCUCGCGCCUGCGCCUCACUGGUCCAGUGACGGACGAUGCCUUGCACCGUGAACUCCGUAGGCUCCGCCGCCUCCUCUGGGAUCUUGAGCAGCAGGAGCUGCCAGCCAAUUAUCGCCAUGGGCCUCCCGUGGCCACGUCUCCUUGAGAACCAAUACCAAACGAGCGCGCGAACCUUGAAAUGUCACGGGCUUCUACUGACAGGAGCCCGCCUGAGCGCAGAGCUUUCUGGGAGUUGUAGUUCUUAUCCCGCGUGGAAUGUUGGGAGAUUGAGUUUUCGGGAAGUAGCGGAUGGGACGGUGGGAGCAUGGGCUUAGGAUGUGAAUGCCAGGGAGCAAUAAAGGUAUCCGUGGUAUCGG
rnacentral:sRNA from 1 species